rnacentral:misc_RNA from 1 species
CAUUUGCAUGGGAGAGUCCACGUGAGGAUUGCCACUUGAAUGGGAAUUAGUGGCGCACUAAAGGGAAAUUAGUGGCGCACUAAAGGACCAUGAGGAAGUGCAUGUGGAGACAUGGCAUGGCAUGGUUGUUCACGUGAAUGGCGAUUGUGCAUGGUAUCCUUGAAGUGGACGUGGACUUUGCAUGGAAGUAGUUCACAUGGAAUUGUUACUUUUGCAUGGAAUUGAGUGGCGCACUAAAUGGGGACAUCUUGCAUGGGCGUGAAGUGCAUGUGACAUGAGCUAAGUGGCCUAAGGCAUUAGUGCAUGUGCGGUGCACUAGUGGCUAAUGGUGAUAAGCAACUUAGUGGGACAUGUGGCGUGAUGACAAAGUGGUGCCAUGUGAAUUUGGUGUGCGUGAAACAUGCAUGGAGAUGCAUGGACAUGAGAACCCAAGUGUGAAAGUGGGGCGCAUGUGAGGCAAUUGCAUGGGACCAAAUUGGGCUUUGCAUGAGACUUGCCAAGUGGCUUUGAGGAUGGCACGGCAAGUGGAUCCAUGCAUGAGAUGAGGGACCAAAGCAUGCAAUGUGAAGUGAGAAAUCCAUGCAACGUGAAGAGCCAAGGUGCAGCCCACUAAGUGGCUUAGUGGGGCAAGUGUUGCGCCAAAAUGAGGACAGCACAAGACCACUUAAAUGAGCAUGAGUGGAGGCCCAAAUAUGCAGCGUGAAUUGGUGAAGAACCAGCCCAAGUGGGGCGC